rnacentral:lncRNA from 1 species
UUCAUACCUGUGACAAUACUAAGGCCGUGUUUAGUUUUUGAAGUCAAAAAUUUCGUCAUACUGUAGCAUUUUCGUUUGUUUGUGGUAAUUAUUGUCUAACAAUGGACUAACUAGGCUUAAAAGGUUCGUCUCGUAAAUUUUGACCAAACUGUGCAAUUAGUUUUCAUUUUCAUCUAUAUUUAAUACUCUGUACAUGCGUCUAAAGAUUCGAUGUGACAUAAAAUCUUAAAAAAAUUUAGGUUUUGGGUGGAAGUAAAAAGGCCUAAUAGUGAUACAAAUCAGUGUUUACUAUAAAAUUAUUACAAAAUAACCUAAAGAUCAAAGGCCUUGUUUAGUUCUAAAAUUUUUUGGAAAAUCGACAGUGUAGCACUUUCAUUUGUAUUUGACAAAUAUUGUCCAAUCAUGGACUAACUAGGCUUAAAAGAUUCGUCUCGUCAAUUUCGACCAAACUGUGUAAUUAGUUUUUAUUUCCGUCUAUAUUUAAUACUCCAUGCAUGCAUCUAAAAAUUCGAUAUUACGGAAAAUCUAAAAAAAUUUGCAAAUUUUUUUAGGAACUAAACAAGGCCUAAACAAAAAUUACAUCAAAGUACUAGCGAAGCAGGAUCUCCAAACCUACAAACAGCUGACAGAGGGUACACCAACCUAGUAUCCACACCAUCUUCAAGGAACAUCAUCCGACAUCACUAAUCCACGAACGAAGAUCUAUGUAGAGAUCAAUAUUCCGACAACCUAUAAUUACCUUUUUUGGAAAAGCGCAGCACCGGAGCUGAGCACAUGCGUCCACUCGACCACUCCCAUGCGCCCAUCCGACUCCUUUCCCCAACUUGUCAUGACGUCAUCCUAAAAAAAAAUAAAAAAAUUAUUUUAAAUUACUAUAACUUAUAAAUGGUAUAUCUAUUUUCAAUUCCAUUUGUACCGAUGUGUUCUACAUAACGAGACGAACAAAACUAGAUACCACUUGCAUAUGUUUUAAAGAUUUUUUUCUAGUACUAAUUUAUGCCUAUUAACUUAUAACAUAUAAUUUAUACAUAAAAUUUAUAAAACUCAACUUAUAUAUAAAAUUUAUUAAAAAAGGAAUAAAUUAACUUAUAAUUCAUGCUAAAAACUUAAAAACACAGUGUAAUGAAUUAACUUAUAACUUAUGCUAAAAAUUGGAAACACAAAGUUAUGAAAACAGAACUUAUAUACUAAAGCUAUGAAACACAAACUUGCCAAUGCUAUCAAAUAAGUUUUGAUAAAAACUUAUGUUAAUAAGUUCUGCUAUGCAAAAUGUUAUAUUGUAAAAAUUUCUAUUAUAACUUAUAAUAAUUAUGCAUGAAAGUUAUAUGUAUGCUCGUAAAAAAAGAGAGAAAAGUUAUGUGUAUAGCUUGCUUGUAUAACUUAGAUAUAUAACUUGAUGAAGACUUAGAUAUAAAGUUGGAUGUAUGAGUUAUAUUCGAGAACUUAAAUGUAUAAAUUGAUAUCAUAAUAUAUUAGUAAAAUAUAAAAUUAUGUACAAAAUGACUUGUAUAAAAAAGAAGGAAAAAUGUAGAAAAUAAAAAAGAAAGAUGAACGCAGUGCGUGUUCUCCUCGAACCUGCCAGCUCAGGCAAGGGAGAACCGCAUGCUAGGAAGCCUCCAUACAGCUGGAAACCAGUGUUGGUGAUUGUUCGCUGGACUAGAAACGAACGAACGUCCGUAGAAAUGAAAUAUGAAACAUCAUUUUCUGAAAAUUGUAUCCUCUAGUCCGAACCAUUCGGUUGAGGUAUCAAGAGGAACAAAGAGAAAAGUGAUUAUAUCGAAAUACUCCAUAAGUAUAGGAAAGUAUAACAUGAGAUCAAACAAAAGAAACUUAUAAGGUUUGACACAAACAUUUAAGUGACACAUACUAAUAUAUCUUAAAUCCUUAGCAGAUAAUUGCUAAGUGAAACAACCAUCUCCUUAGAAAAAACCAAACUAACACUUAGAUUCCAUCCAAGCUCUCAAUCUGAACUAACCAUUCCCUUACCAAGAGAACCACACUUGACCAAACUAGUACCAUCUAAUCAAGAAAAAAUCCAAGCCGCUGGACCAUGAGCACGACUGAUAUACUAGGUUUAUACUCAACAAAAGGUUACACACUUUCACCACAGGCAUAUUUCCCAAUCAUGCUAAACACUACCUAGGUGAUUAGCGGGUGAAAGCAUCUAGGUCCCCCCUAUUGAGUUUCAGUGAACGUAAGUUUUGUAGAGACAAAUUGAGUUAUGUCAUGAUAACCGUGAUUGCUUGGGUAAUGUUUAAACAACUAGCCUACCUAUAGUUGUCCUAUUUGGAUACACUAUGACAAAUUUUAGCUAUUUUUUAGUUAGGUAGCAAUUAGGUCUUAUAUCAAAAUGGGCC